rnacentral:rRNA from 1 species
GGUUGGCUUAGAAGCAGCCAUCCUUUAAAGAAAGCGUAAUAGCUCACUGGUCAAGAGAAAAUGCGCCGAAAAUUUAUCGGGGCUAAGUGUGGUACCGAAGAUGAGGAUGUCAGUGCUUCGCACUGAAAUUUCUAAUUUCUAAUUUCUAAACAAUUUCUAAUGAUUAAAUUCCAAAAUAAAAUUUGGAAAUUAAAAAUUGAGAUUUAUUUGGAAAUUGUGAUUUAUGAUUUGGAAUUUUCAGUGCGUAGCGCUGGCGUGGUAGAGGAGUAUUCUUAAAUCGUUGAAGUCAGACCCGCGAGGGCUGGUGGAGAUCUAAGAAGCAAGAAUGUUGGCAUAAGUAACAAAAAGAUCGGUUAAAAUCCGAUCCACCGAAAGCCUGAGGUUUCCUGGGCAACGACCAUCGACCCAGGGUUAGGCGAUCCUAACUCCGUACCUUUUAGUCUUUGUUAAAAUAAACAACAAAAAUUAAAAGGUGCGGGGGAUGGAAGAGCAGGUUAAUAUUCCUGCCCUACUGUAAGUUUAUCCAUUAACUGACGCAUUUGAGUGUGUGAUCGUCAUAUGACUAUGGCGUUUCUGCUUUACCGCAAGGUGGAGUGGAUAGAAGUGAAAGCUCCGGCUGGAUCAAAUUCACGUAAUUGAGUGCCAAGAAAAGGUUAUUGGUCACGAUUUAUAGUAUUCGUACCGCAAACCGACACAGGUAGGCGGGUUGAGCAUACUAAGGUGUACGAGAGAACCCUUUUUAAGGAAUUCGGCAAAACAGCGGGCGUAACUUAGGGAUAAGCCCUCCCGUUCUGGGCGCAAGCUUUUGAACGGGCGCAGCGAAAGAGCUUUGGCGACUGUUUAUCAAAAACACAGGUCUCUGCUUAAGUCGUAAGACUAUGUAUAGGGACUGAUGCCUGGCCAGUGUCCGAACGUUAAGGUGAGAGGUCAUUCCUCCGUAAGGAGGAGGCAGCCUUGAUCUGAAGCGCGGAUGAACGCCGGCGGUAACUAUAACCGUCCUAAGGUAGCGAAAUUCCUUGUCGGCUAACUUCCGACCUGCACGAAUGGCAUAACGGUCUAAGCACUGUCUUAAAAAGGGACUCGGUGAAAUUGCAAGGCCAGUGAAGAUGCUGGCUACUCACAGAUAGACGAAAAGACCCCGUGAAGCUUUACUAUAACUUGAUAUUGACCUAUUGAUUAACAUGUUCAGCAUAGGUGGGACCCGCUCAGAGCGCAAGCUUUUGAGCGGGACCAGUGAGAUACCACCCUUGUUAUUCAGUAGUUCUAACCUCGAUUUAUCGAGAGACAGUAUCUGGCGGGUAGUUUGAGUGGGGCGCUCGCCUCCUAAAAAGUAACGGAGGCAUUUACAAAGGUUGGCUAAUUCCGGAUGGAAACCGGGAUUGUCGGGUAAACCCAUAAGCCAGCUUUACUGCGAGUCCUACAAGACGAGCAGUUACGAAAGUAGAAGUUAGUGAACCGACCAUCCCAUUUAGGUGGGUGGAAGAUCACUGGACAAAAGCUACUCCGGGGAUAACAGGCUGAUCCCGCCCAAGAGUUCAUAUCGACGGCGGGGUUUGGCACCUCGAUGUCGGCUCAUCGCAUCCUGGGGCUGUACAAGGUCCCAAGGGUUCCGGAGUUCACGGAUUAAAGCGGUACGCGAGCUGGGUUCAAAACGUCGUGAGACAGUUUGGUCUCCUAUCUACUGUGAGCGUUAAAUCUUGAGGAGCUCAUUCCCUAGUACGAGAGGACCGGGAAGGACGAACCUCUGAUCAGCCGGUUGUCACGCCAGUGGCAGCGCCGGGUAGUCAAGUUCGGGUUGGAUAAACGCUGAAAGCAUAUAAGCGUGAAGCCGUCUCCAAGAUUAGAAUUUAUUGUCUCCUGGCAGACUACCAGGUUGAUAGGUGGCCGUGUGUAAGGUCCGCAAGGAUUUCAGCAAAGGCCAUACUAAUCAGACAAAACUUUCAAUGU